GAGGAAAGUCCGGGCUCUGUUUAUAAAAUUAUCGCUAUAUAAAAUAUAGUGUGGGCAACCAUAAGGAUAGUGCCGCAGAAAUAUACCGCCUAUAACUAUAAUUAGGUAAGGGUGCAAUGGUUCGGUAAGAGCGUACCAGAAGUAUUUUUAAGAUACUUGUUAGGUAAACCCCAUAUUAGAGCAAAGUGAUCCCUUUUAUAUAUUAGCUUUUAUAAGCUAUCUUUAUAUUUUUUAGUGAUUUAUUAAGAUACUGCUAUAAGGUGAAGUUACUUGAGAUUAAUGAUUACCCUUUUUGUAUAUAUUUGACUAUUAUUACUUUUUUUACAAAAAGAACAAAACCCGGCUUAU
rnacentral:RNase_P_RNA from 1 species